rnacentral:rRNA from 1 species
CCUACGGGCGGCAGCAGUGAGGAAUAUUGGUCAAUGGCCGAGAGGCUGAACCAGCCAAGUCGCGUGAGGGAUGACGGCUCUUCGGGUUGUAAACCUCUUUUGUCGGGGAGCAAAGAGAGUCACGUGUGGCUCAUUGAGAGUACCCGAAGAAAAAGCAUCGGCUAACUUCGUGCCAGCAGCCGUGGUAAUCCGGAGGAUGCGAGUGUUAUCCGGAUUUAUUGGGUUUAAAGGGUGCGCAGGCGGAGGUGCAAGUCAGUGGUCAACUUGCGGGGCUCAACCCCGUACUGCAGUUGAAACUGCAUCCCUUGAGUGCGCGAGAGGUAUGCGGAAUGCGUGGUGUAGCGGUGAAAUGCAUAGAUAUCACGCAGAACUCCGAUUGCGAAGGCAG